GAUCCAGUGUGGUGAAGUGGUUUCAGUGCUGGAUUAUGACUCUGGAGACCAGGGUUUGAAUCCCUGCUUGGCCA